rnacentral:misc_RNA from 1 species
UGAUUGACGUGCAUCGGUAUGUUGAAUCCCUGCUAGGGCAGCGACAACGUAUCUUGCUCGCCACUUCAGUUAUUGCCAUAGGCGCUUUAAGCCUUUGUCGGAUGAUGUUUUCCUGUGUUAUAUUCCAUUAAAAGGCAUUGAAUUUGUUCAAUUGCAUUAGUUCACUUCUCGCUGUUGUCCCCUUGGAUUUUGGCAUGCAGUGAACUUUAAAGCAUUUAUUGUGUUCCACUUUCCUUGCAUGCACAUGCUUGGGUUGUUGGGCCACGGUCCUUGCUCGGUCUCUCGGUUGCGGAAUACCUUGUGGGCACGAGGACACCAGUCCUCUAUUCGGCCCUUAUCUAGCGUUUAACGCUAUGUUCAAACGACAGUUGUGGUUGUCUUGACUAGGUCUUUAUGGCUUGGCUCAUACGGUCGCAACGUCGAUGAGGAAUG